AUCCACCUAAGGUAUGAUUUGCCCCUCCUUGCCUUCUGCCAUGCUUGUGAGGCCUCCCCAGCCACGUGAAACUAGCCUGAUUAAUUUUGAGACAUGAGCUUUGGACUCAGACCUGAGCUGGACUCUUGCUUCGCUUCACUUCACUGAGCUGCGUGGGCUUGGAGGGAUGUUAAACGACGCUUAAACGGGGGCGCACGGUGACAGAUGCGGCCCCGGCACAGCGGCACUGGCGUUGAGAUUCCACAUCAGCAUCGGUGGGAACCUGGGAGAACUAUUGCGCCUUUUGCAGACCCAGCCUGGAUUCUAUUUUUAGUUUUCUAAUCCUGUAAUACUCUUUCCUAGGGAUCUGCAUCCAAUAUCCUUGAAGUAUCAAAAUUUGCUUCCUCUGAAAUGAAUGGAUAUAAAAUAUACUGUUAGUAUUAUAACAACUGAAAUCAACAAGUUAC